UUACAGCGCAGCUGGUGCAUCACCAGAGGGUUCUCCAUGGCCCCAGGAGUCUUGGUCUCGUUGGGGAUGAUGCAGCGCACAAAGUGAGGAUAUCAAGAAGCUUUGAAGGACGGUGCUUUGUGAGAUCAAGGUCAGUUUCUUCGGUGCCAGACAGGUGUCAAGCUGGUAUCCUGCCUUCCCCUCACUUCUUCUAACAGCUAGUGCAAGAAGGUGUGAUUCAGUCCUUUGACCUGCUGCAGAUGCACACGAGUUACUUUGGAGACAAAGGGGACUACAGCACAGGAGAUCCCAAAGGUCUUAGGUGGCCGUCUGUGAGUUUCACUCCUCAUCUAGCCCUUUCUGUGAUGAAGAAUAACAAGAGAGUAGACAAUGAGAGACGGAUUAGUGACAACGGACCAACAAGACUCAACAAGUGUAACACAAAAGGGUACACUAGAACUAAAUAAUGUUAUGAAAUGUGCUGCAAAUUACUCAUAAUGUUGUUUUUUUUUACAGGUUCUUUUGCUGUGGCAUGUUGGCUUCGACACAGUUAUGUCAAAAUGAAAGUUAAUGUUGAAUUAGUGGAAUUGGACAAAUCUAAACAAUGUAGGACUAAAUGUGAAAAGCUGUUUUAUAAAUCACAUAAAAGGCACUGAAAACUGGUCCCAAGUCUGAAUUGUGGGGACAACAUUUUCUUUAGGACAUUUAUCUUUUAAAAUAGAAGAUUUUAAAAAAUGUGUAAGUACACCAACACAGGCUCCGUAUUAGCAUGCCCCCCUUAAUGCAUGAAAGUUAAUACAGUUGGACCAGUCAACAUGCAAGAACAUAUAUUAACACAAAUUAAUCAAUCAAUCAAGCCUUUACUUGGCAUCUCUAUAUUUAACUAUGUAUAUAAUUUAGGUAAAAUGAACUUAAUUGUUUAACGCUGUCUUAACUCCCAAACUAUCACUCAGAUGUAGUUAUUUUGGUAAACAAGAUGAAUCAAUGGACAACCAGCUAACUGUGAGCUGUCCCUGGUUUAAAUCUUUUUCCGCACAUUGCUCCCCUCAAAUCUUAACUGUCAAUUCACUAAUAACUUCAUAAAAUGUCAUAAAAAAAUACCUAAACACUAAAAAUAUUAACAUUUUGCAGUUAUAGCCAUUAUUUAAAUCGUAAGAGACCUGUCAUGUGACAAAAACUGCAUGACCACUAACCUGCUAAAUUGCACUAAUACAACUUACGCAGUUCAUAAAAGCGCAAAAUAAACUAUAUCUUCACAAAGA